CAGCAGCCACGGUAAAACGUAGGGUGCAAGCGUUAAUCGGAAUUACUGGGCGUAAAGAGCUCGUAGGCGGUCUGUCGCGUCUGCUGUGAAAACUGGGGGCUCAACCCCCAGCCUGCAGUGGGUACGGGCAGACUAGAGUGCGGUAGGGGAGAUUGGAACUCCUGGUGUAGCGGUGGAAUGCGCAGAUAUCAGGAAGAACACCGAUGGCGAAGGCAGAUCUCUGGGCCGUAACUGACGCUGAGGAGCGAAAGCAUGGGGAGCGAACAGGAUUAGAUACCCGGGUAGUCCCUGUCUCUUAUAU
rnacentral:rRNA from 1 species